GAAUUAGUGAAAUUGGAUGUUUUCCUUCUAGUAACUCGAGAAAAUUAAGCAACUGGGAAAUAUGUAUAAACAGGUGCUAUCUACAGAGGGUGGCUUUGAUAGGAAUCUCCAGUAUGGUACUUAGGGGCAACAAUGCAUAUCAUUGAUGUUAACUCAUGAACAAUUCACAAAUGAAUUUCUCCUCCAUUAUUUCAGCUUAUCCGCACAGCAUCACCAAAAGGGAGAUGAGUCAGUGAUGAUCUUAUGAAUCAGGAUACUGAGUAGCAGCGUGUUCAUCCUAAUGGUCAGCUGCCACCUUCAGAUUGGAACUCAGCUCGUGUCUCUCAGGCUGUCAGAAUGUAGAAGCUGCUGCAGAAGCCGGGGAGGGGGUGUCGAAGAAUCUCCUUGACAGCUCCCAUUAAGUGAAAUACGAGGUGAAACAGAAUGAAAUAAAAUUGGGAAUGAGAU
rnacentral:lncRNA from 1 species